CGGGUGAGUAAUACAUAAGUAACCUGCCCUAGACAGGGGGAUAACUAUUGGAAACGAUAGCUAAGACCGCAUAGGUACGGACACUGCAUGGUGACCGUAUUAAAAGUGCCUCAAAGCGCUGGUAGAGGAUGGACUUAUGGCGCAUUAGCUGGUUGGCGGGGUAACGGCCCACCAAGGCGACGAUGCGUAGCCGACCUGAGAGGGUGACCGGCCACACUGGGACUGAGACACGGCCCAGACUCCUACGGGAGGCAGCAUG
rnacentral:rRNA from 1 species